UAACUAUAAUUAAAUCUAGAAAAAAUCCCAUGUUGCAUUGCAGCCCUUCAAUGCAUCAUGACAUGUUCUCAAUCUCCAUUACUAUGUCCCCCAAUGUGACCUAGAAACCGGAAUAUCCCUGGUCAGCAGCCUAUUUCUAAACCUUUAUUUACAUUACAGUUGAGAGUUGAGAGAACAUAAAAUAUGUCCCAAGAAAGCCCAUAAAAUAACACUUACAGAAUCUUGAGCAUGUGUUGUUAUUUCUAUUGUUCUCUACUACAUUUGCACAUCAAAUCAACUUAUUUACUGUGUAUGUAUAAAUCAACUUGUUAUGAAAACAUAUAUGUUCAGAUUUGGAGGAUUUUCUUUCCUUAUUUUUGUUGGCUCUAUAGUGUCAGUUUUAGCCUUGAAAUUGUUGCACGAUAGAUUUGGUGUCAUCAUAUAAAGAUUUAAACUCUCCCUGUUUCCGAUAACUUUAACAUAAAAGGUAUUCAAACACUAGCAGACAAACAACCGUAUCCUAUAUCUCUUUUAUCUUGCUCAGCAUAGAUAACAUUCUUAUAGGAGCCUAAUGCUGACAUUCAUACCUAUACUUGUAAUGAAACAAAAAAUUAAAGAUUGGAGAUGACAAUCAUGUUAUUAAAAAAUCCACUAUAUGAAAAGACACCGCACUAUAGUUAAGAAUUAAGAAAACAAUUAGGAGAAAAGAAAACAAUUGGGAAGGAAGAAGAGUUGUUGUGCCUCCGAGCAGCUAGUACAGCCUGCCCUAUUAUCUAUUAGUUGAAUUUUUCUGACUACAUUAAAAUAAGGAAAUGAAAAAAAACUGUAAAUUCUAACAAAAUACAUUAAAAAUAAGAGAAAUUAAAUACAUUGAUGAGAAUUCUUUAAAAAGUUAGUCAAGAGAUCGAAAUGGAGAAAUUGUACCAGCUAUAUAUGUGACUAGUCCCGCUAUACUCUCCACAAGAAACAAAUAUUCAACCUUGUCUUGCAAUACAUGAGACCAAAAUUUUGUAAGCCAUCUUAGGUCAGCAAUCAAUAGAUGUAUAUGCAAAAGGUCACAUAAGUCGCAUGCCUCCUAAAAAGUUUGUGGUGGUGUCUGUAGGUACACAAAUCAAUCGAGCACAAAAGAAAAUAGAAGUAUAAAAGUCCUUUAAAAAAAAGGCAAUCGAACUAAAGAGAGACGUUGUUGAUUCAUUUAGCAUCACCUGUUGUACCUCUCAUGAAGUAUAGUUGCAUACGCCAAUGUCAGUUUAUAUGCAUACAUAUGAAUCUGAAAAUUUCAAGAUACUUCACAAUGCUCUCUAUCUCUCUCACACAUGCAAACUUCUCUAAAAGGAAUAUCCUCAAUUUUUUACUAUAAGUUGAUCAUGUGAGACAUUAUAUCCAUCAGAUUUGAAGCCAAAUAUAAAAGAAAAUCAUCUCCCUCCUUGUGCCUCUUCUCCUUUCCUCUUCCCCCAGUUCUGCCACGUAUUCCUAUUUUCCCAACCUCCAUUGUAGCUAGGCGAGAAAAGAAGGGGAGUGGCAGAGGAGGAUGAGGGAAUGGCAAUGGGUGGCAGUGGGAGGAGGUCAUAAGCGAAGAGUGUAGUGAUGGAGGAUUUAGUGGAGCAGUGGGUGCUCAUGGAAGAAUAUGGUUACCGUGGUAGAGGGGUUGAAUGAAGAGAAGGUUGCGAGAGCAAGCAAUGAAAGGUGAGAGGAACCUAGGGGAAGCAGAUGUUGUAAUCGAGGAGAAAUCAGAGGGAAAGACGACCUUGGUGAGAGGAGGGUUCACUUGGAUUAGAAGUCAAAAAUGGGUCUACCAAAAUUAUUCUCUGAAGUCUUCUACUAUAAUUCACUUUUUCUUUGAACCAACCAGAAGAUAACUUAUUGUGCAUGUUUUUAAUACCCUACAGUACUGUAGUUUGAUGUUACUUAAACUCGCACUACAUUGAUUGAGGAGUCUUAGAAAGAUAGGAUCUAGAUUAUGCAUCUUUUGAGGGAUAAUCCCACCUCAUGGAUCUCUGAUAUUCUAGAGGACGGAGGUAAUAUUCUUUUGCAAGGACUGUGGUCCCUGCAAGUUCUUCUUUGUUAGAAGAGCACAAUGAAGAUAGGACUUUUCUGUCUCUCUUUGAACAAGAAUAAACAAUAACUUUGAACACAUGGCUCAAAUUUUUUAUAGCAUCACAUAUUCAAACCAACUAAACAACACACUUAGCAAUAUUCAAAUAAAACCCUAGAAUCCUCUUACCUAUUUGAGGGUUCGGGAGAUAGCCUCCGACUUGAGCAUGUCGGCGCGCCAGCGGGGCACGACUUCUACCUCGAUCAUGUAGAUGGAAGGAGUGUAGCAAUUAAGGGGUGGGGGCUUAGCCAGGCUGAGAGCGAAUGGAGAUGGAGGAGGGCUGACAUGGUUGUGUGUCAGAUGCCCUGUUGGAAUGAGGGAAAAAGGCGAGGGAUAGCUCCAAUACCUUGCCGGAAUGGAGGAAGAAAAGGUGGUAGGUAUGGAUUAGGGAUUAGAGGGCUGUCAGAUAGUUUUUCUCCUAAAAUUAUUUUUUUUAAAAAAAAAGAGGGCAAACUAGUAAUUUCUCACUCCCCAUUAACUUUGGUGGACGGCUGGGGCACAUUGUAACCAAUUCGUAACUUUUGGGUUCUAAUUGAAAAAUUAGAACUUUUGGGGUGUAAGUGCAAAUCGCAAAAAGUUGAAGGGGUUUCUCUAUAAUUUAUCCUAAAUUUUAAUUAUUAACUUGAUAUGGACCUAUUUACAGUAGCGGUACUGUUCAUGGCAUUCUUCAUACUAUAGGAAUAAUGAACAAUGAUCAUGCGUUAUUAGGGAUAGUUCUAAGAUGUUAAAAGAGUCAUUAGGAUUUCUAUUUUGUUAGAAAAUGGGACUAUUAGGGUUUCAUGUAAUCAGACUUCAUGUAUUGUAAAUAAAAUUAUGUAGCUUUUGGUUUUCGUGACUCUUGUGAUGUGAUUCCAUAGUAGAGGUAUUUGACAACAAAUUCGGUAUUAUCCUUCUUAUUUUACUGCUUUCUUCUGCCUUCAGCUUUGCUUCCUUUUGUUUUCUAUGGCCUAGUUGUUUUGUUGUCGAUGUGAACUAAUCUGCAACAGAACCAUACUAGACCCUCACAACCUGCAAAACUAACAACAUAGAAAGUUGUUCCUUUUGUGUCAUUGCUAGCCAUUUGUCGAAGGCAAACAACCACCUAUCAGGGUCAGAUCAUGGUUGUCGUCAUAGUAGACCUUGUUCUGGUAGAUCAUAGCUAUUGUCAUUCCAGACGUUGUUUUGGUAUUGCAGCGAGCCUAUCAUAUUUUCAUUACAACCGAUGAUUUAUGCCUACAAACUCUAACCUUGCUGUCCCUAACACUUGUAGAUUCUCAGAUCUGGAAACUGUAGAAUCAAAUCUGUUGUUACCAUCUUUAUUAUUUAUCCUCGAAUCUAUUCUUAUAAUCCAACAACAGACCCCUCUUUCUAGUAAAAAACACAGUUGAUUGCUUUGUUUUAUUUAAAACCCUAAAGUUACUACUAAGCUGGAAUUUCCAACAACAUAAUAGGUUUAAGUCUUUGCUUCCCUAUACCCUAUAGACCUAUACCAUUUAGACUAUCCUACAUCGGUUUGGUAUCAGAGCUUCUGGUAAGCCACCAUGUUCUGUCAUAGCAGCCGAUCCAAUUUAUGGAUCAUAUCUACUUAUGAACAUGUCCGUAAUGAAAAUUUCACUAUCCUGAACUAGAUGAGUUUUUGAAUUGGAUCACAGAUUUAGAAGAUUGUUUUGAUUGGUACAUUAUGUAUGACCAGAUGCAAGUCUAUUUUACUAAUUCAAAACUAAAAGGUGCAGUCUGCAUAUGGUGGAGAGGCAUAGAGGAUAGGAUUAUUUGUUGAGGCCAAGCUCGUAUUAUCAAUUGGGAAGGGAUGACGAAAUUGUUUAAGGUAUCUCCUAUUAUCAACAUCAGAAUGGAUAUGACCAACCUAUUUUCAAAAAGACUCCAAGAGAAGAAUUUGGAAAAAUGGAAGAAACUUCUCGAUUUUCAAAAAUCAAGUUGGUGAAAGAUCUUUGUUUUGUGGUGGAAGACUUGUAGAAAAGAAAUGUAGACAAAGAAGUCGAGCACCUCUUUUCUCAGAGAACUGGCAGACGUGCAGAUGCAAGAAUAGUGAAGCUUAUUUCAGUUGAAAGCCAUAAUAAAGUACCUUAAGAUCAUACUGGGAUAUAGGGCAACAAUUCAGCAAAGAUAGGAUCAAGUCCAUUUGUGUGGCAAUGGAACUGAAAGAAGAGAUAAAGGAGUUACCUAAAUAAUUUUAUAAUGUACAAGGUCGUAAAGAUAUAGUGGAAGAAAAGAUAGUCAUGGAAAAAACUUUUUGAGAUUCUCAUUUUAAGGAAGAGCUUAAUGAAAUAAAAGAUUCUGCUAUAAUGUUAGAAGAAAAGGUGACAUCUAUUUCUGAUCCUUCAAAAGAAGGCUAUUUUGAUGCUGAAUUUCCGUCGGAUGUUAAAAAAGUCGGAAAACUUGCCUAUUAUGAUUCUCAUAAAUUUAAUGAACAAGACCUACAGGUUCCAUCAAACCUUGGAGAAAUUGUCUGCUUAAAAGAAAUAAAUGUUGAUAAUGGUUUCUUCGUGCAACGCAACAUUGUGAUGGUCAAAGCUAAUAUGAAAACUAAUGAAACUUGGGCUGAUUCAAAGCAGGUCAAAAAUUAAUUCUACCAAGAACAAACAGAUUACAUGUGAAAAGCAGUUUAAAAUCUACUCACAAUCAAGGUACGCUGAACCAGUAUCGGUUAGCAUACCCAGUUCGGGCCGUAUCAUACCAGUACCAACCCGGUCUGCCGCGCGGGCGCGCUGCCCUACAGAAAAAAAUUCUCCGCAUUUCCCACACAUUUCCUCGCAUUUCUACGAGCGAGGCUAUGUGCAAGAUGUGCGCGGCUGCAUGUUUUUCUUUAUCUUUUCUUUUCUUUUCUUUUCCUUCUCUUCUUCCUUCUUCCCGAUUCUUCUCCUCUCUCCUCCUCUCUUUCCCCCCUUUUCUCGUGAGCAAGGAAGGGUGAGCACCCCGACGAGGAUCACCCUGAUGAGGCCCGGUACCGGUAAGUCUUCUUCUCCUCUUUCUUUCUCUUCUUCCUCUUCUUUCUUCCUCUUCUUUCUUCCUUCUUCCUUGCACACGCAGGCGCGCUGCCCUACAUGUACCGGUGCGAACUGGUCCGAUUCGCACCGGUACGCAGCGGAAACUGUUUUCAACUGCUGAACCGCACCGGUUGGCUUCAGUACCGAUACGGUACGUGUUGAACCGGCCGGUUCAGCAUACCAUGCUCACAAUAUGGCACAACAUUCAAUAAUUGGUAUCCAACUUUGACCUAAAAGAACUCGAGAUCAGAUUCCAGCAACAGAACUGAAUGAUGGAGAUCGAGAACAUAUCAUGGUGCAUUGAAGUGUGGAUUUUUCUUAGAUUUCAUUAUGGUUAUCGAUUUUCUUUUUUUAUUUAUUUUCUAUUAUUUUUAGUUUUUAGUAGGCCUUUUAAAGUCAAAGGCUGAGAUUAAAAGAUAUCAGAUUUUGAUUGUUCAUGGUGAGCAAUAACUAUACCUUAUUAGGGGCAGUUUUGGAAUUUUAGAAGUCUCGAAUCAGGGUUUCUGUUUUGUUCUAAAACUGGACGCUUAAGGUUUGAUGUAAUCAUACUUUACGCAGAUUAUGAAUGAAAGAUGGGAGUUUUUGGUUUUCUUUGCUCUUGUGGUGUGAUUCCGUAUGGGAGCUUUAAGGCCUCCGAACCCUAGAUGUGAUUCUUAGGCCAUGGAGCGAGUCUGAUAUUAUCCUUCCUCUCUUUGGACUGCUUUCUGUGGAAUCACACCUAGGAUUUGAUGUUGUAUGUAGUCAUUUUGAUGAUCAUAUGCUGUCAUCUUAUGAGACUACUGCAAAGUUUAUUCUCAUUGAUGCACUUUUCAUGUGAUCAAUUCUUUAGUGUGUAGUUGUAAGGUAAGGCUGGGUUGGUUAUUUUACCAUCUUGCCGAUGCUGAUGUGCUAGCCUGGAUAAACUUAAUUUGGGCCUAUUUCUCAUAUUUCUUUUGACCAAUGAUACACUCCUUUCGGUGGUUUCAAGCCACUGUCAAUUUUUGCACACAGAUAAUUUUAGAUGAUGAUACUUAUUAAUAAUUGCAGCCCUUGCUUGGACCACACCUUGUAACCUGCCAAAAGUUUUGCACCAAAAAAAGCUACAUUGUGUCCCUGCUAUCAUUUUGGUUCCCGCCUCAACAAUGAUGGCCUGACACUGUGAAUUACAUCAACCUUUGUUUGUUGCACCAGUUCUGCCCAACUAGAUCAGAUUGGGAGCAAGUUUGGUAAUGGUGCCAGGCGUUGUGUGAUAACUUGUUUAUGUGAUUCUUUGUUGCAUCUCUAACUCUUUGGGUCUUCACAGUUAGUUUUGACAGGGUCUUCUCAUCAUCGAAAAGUAGUUUCGGAGGGAACCAUUAUUUUGUUGUAGAUGUUUGUAGAACUUGGUUUAAGCUGCUCCAAUUGUUUCCACUGUAUUGUGCAGGUUCAAUUGGUAAUCCUGAAUGCUAAGUUACCAAGAACAACAAUAACCUCCUAUGUAUCUGAUUAAAAUUUUCUUGCAUGCAGUGUUGUUGGAACAGUUACGUGCAAUCUUGUUUCUAUCCUUUCUUCAGAUUAAAAGAAUGAAAUACCAGGGGCACAUAAAAGACCACAGGAAUUCAAGCAACCCUACGUGGUAGGAGGAAAAGACAGCGAGCUGCUCGGAAAAGAAGCGGUGCUUCUAGAAAGGUUGAGCAGCCAAUCAGACAUCAAACCUUCAAACAACGGCUCAUCCAGUAGUGAACUUCAGAAAGAAACUGAGGAAGCCGCUUUUUGAGGGAAUCUAGACGAGAAAUCCGACGAACUUGAGGCCGGGUCAGAAGUCAUGAAUGAGAUUGCUGAUAAAAAUAAGAACUGCCAAGCCAGGGCGGUUGGAUCCUUUGUCACUCAGGUAAUCAGCGGUGGCACAUCUGUUAUGACCUGGUUUGGUUGGAGGAUGAACAUCGCUAGAUAACAAACAAAACUCUUUCUUUUUCCGAUUGUAACGAUGGAGAACAUCUUUCAAACACGCUGAGCAACCGGUGAUGCUGAAGUACUAAACGUAUUGACAGUUUUUCAUUACAAGAAGCAAAAAACACUUUAGGAUGAUCCGUGCGAAGCGUGCAGAGCAGAAUUUGAGAUUUGUGCUUGGCGAAAGAUUCGCUUCUGCACAACAGGUUUUAUUUGCAUCCAUCAUCCUAUCUAGCACAUUAGCUCAAGUUUCUCGAGGUGAUGUCUCAGCCGAUGCUCAUUAACAGUUCAAUUCGACCAGAUGAUACGUGCUCUGCAUGUGCUUAUUUCAUACAAAGUAUAUAAUAUAAUCACCAUGUUGUAUUAUUGGCUGUGUAACAAUUAUCACAGCUCAAUGCAUGAAGAUUUACCAUAUCCUAAUAUUAUAACAGCUUUAAUGCAAAGCUGAUGCUAUUAAUUUCCAGUUUUA